AUUGGACGCUGGCGGCAUGCCUUACACAUGCAAGUCGAACGGUAACAGGUCUUCGGAUGCGGGCGAGUGGCGAACGGGUGAGUAAUACAUCGGAACGUGCCUAGUAGUGGGGGAUAACUACUCGAAAGAGUGGCUAAUACCGCAUGAGAUCUACGGAUGAAAGCAGGGGAUCGCAAGACCUUGUGCUACUAGAGCGGCCGAUGGCAGAUUAGGUAGUUGGUGGGAUAAAAGCUUACCAAGCCGACGAUCUGUAGCUGGGCUGAGAGGACGAUCAGCCACACUGGGACUGAGACACGGCCCAGACUCCUACGGGAGGCAGCAGUGGGGAAUUUUGGACAAUGGGCGCAAGCCUGAUCCAGCAAUGCCGCGUGCAGGAUGAAGGCCUUCGGGUUGUAAACUGCUUUUGUACGGAACGAAAAGCCCUGGGUUAAUACCCUGGGGUCAUGACGGUACCGUAAGAAUAAGCACCGGCUAACUACGUGCCAGCCGCCGCCGUAAAAC
rnacentral:rRNA from 1 species